UACGUAGGGGGCGAGCGUUGUCCGGAGUUACUGGGCGUAAAGCGCACGCAGGCGGUCUGCUAAGUUUGGGGUGACAGUUGUCGGCUUAACCGAGAAAGUGCCUCAAAGACUGACAGACUUGAGGGCCACAGAGGGACAUGGAACUCCAGGUGUAGUGGUGAAAUGCGUAGAUAUCUGGAAGAACACCAAAGGCGAAGGCAGUGUCCUGGGUGGUACCUGACGCUCAGGUGCGAAAGCUAGGGGAGCGAACGG
rnacentral:rRNA from 1 species